AAAGAAUCAAUACCCACUGGAUGAGUCAUCACAGCCCAGGCUUCUUCCACAAACACAGCUGGGGAGGGCUGCUUAAUGCAGUGUCCAUUAAGGUUAACGGGCACUUCCAAUAGGGUUUUUUCACGUUUCCCUUGACCAAGUUCAACUCACACUUCAUCCAGACAGGGACAGAGGAGCUUUGUCAUGUCAUCACCAAGACUGGCUUUAUGGAGAAAGUCAUUAAUCAAGGCAAGCAGGGCAUUUUGCAAAUAUCCAGGCCUGGCGAAUCCAACCACCUCAACUGAGGAAACUUGUACCUGGAAGAAUCUAAAUGUGACUCAGCCCUCCCUGGAAAUGACUGAGCUUCAGCCUGAAGGACUUCGUUACCUGAGGGAAAUCCUUAUGGAUCAGGCUUGAAUUAUUUUUAUUUACAUGCUUUGUUGAAGGUGAGCUUGUUUUCCUAAACUUGUAUGCUCAGCUGUUCACCUGAACCCCUGGACUGGAGGGACUGUUGACACUCACAGUUCUCUGGAUGGGUCACCACUUGCCCUGCCAGCACCGUGCUCUCACCUUGUUGGAAGGAAGUUUAAAUAAUACAGAGAAGAUGUCAUAGAGGUGAUGAGUUUUAAAUGAGCAUAUUAUGAUAACAAAAAAUGUUCCAAAUUUCUAUAACCUUCAAUGCCUCUCAAGAAAGAUUUCUGGAAGUUGCUUUAUAGUCCCUAGGAAUGACAGUCACAUAGCAGGAUUGUUUCUUCUUCUUUUUAUGCACUUUGUGCCAGGGAUUCUUUUGAGAAUCUUAGGAAACCUAUGGAUCCCCUUCCUAGCAAAAUAUAUAUACAUACAAUAAUUUUAAUGUAAUUUUUGAACUAUCCCUAGACAGGUUAACAGGGCCCAGAUUGAGAUAUAUGAUAACUCCUCUCAUGAAUGGUUUAAAAACUG
rnacentral:lncRNA from 1 species